AGUGAACGCUGGCGGUAGGCCUAACACAUGCAAGUCGAACGGCAGCACAGUAAGAGCUUGCUCUUACGGGUGGCGAGUGGCGGACGGGUGAGGAAUACAUCGGAAUCUACUUUUUCGUGGGGGAUAACGUAGGGAAACUUACGCCAAUACCGCAUACGACCUACGGGUGAAAGCAUGGGAUCUUCGGACCUUGCGCGAUUGAAUGAGCCGAUGUCGGAUUAGCUAGUUGGCGGGGUAAAGGCCCACCAAGGCGACGAUCCGUAGCUGGUCUGAGAGGAUGAUCAGCCACACUGGAACUGAGACACGGUCCAGACUCCUACGGGAGGCAGCAGUGGGGAAUAUUGGACAAUGGGCGAAAGCCUGAUCCAGCCAUACCGCGUGGGUGAAGAAGGCCUUCGGGUUGUAAAGCCCUUUUGUUGGGAAAGAAAAGCAGCAGGUUAAUACCCCGCUGUUCUGACGGUACCAAAAGAAUAAGCACCGGCUAACUUCGUG
rnacentral:rRNA from 1 species